GAUGAACGCUAGCGGCAGGCCUAACACAUGCAAGUCGAGGGGUAUGGCAGCAAUGCCAGAGACCGGCGCACGGGUGCGUAACGCGUAUGCAAUCUACCUUCUACAGAGGGAUAGCCCAGAGAAAUUUGGAUUAAUACCUCAUAGUAUAUUUUAGUGGCAUCACUAGAUUAUUAAAGUUCCAACGGUAAAAGAUGAGCAUGCGUCCUAUUAGCUGGAUGGUAAGGUAACGGCUUACCAUGGCUACGAUAGGUAGGGGUCCUGAGAGGGAGAUCCCCCACACUGGUACUGAGACACGGACCAGACUCCUACGGGAGGCAGCAGUGAGGAAUAUUGGACAAUGGGCGCAAGCCUGAUCCAGCCAUGCCGCGUGCAGGAAGACGGUCCUAUGGAUUGUAAACUGCUUUUGUACGGGAAGAAACACUCCUACGUGUAGGAGCUUGACGGUACCGUAAGAAUAAGGAUCGGCUAACUCCGUGCCAGCAGCCGCCGUAACAC
rnacentral:rRNA from 1 species